AGAGUUUGAUCAUGGCUCAGAAUCAACGCUGGCGGCGCGCUUAACACAUGCAAGUCGCACGAGAAAGGGGGCAACCCUGAGUGCAGUGGCGUACGGGUGAGUAACACGUGGAUGAUCUACCUCUUAGUGGGGAAUAACCCUGGGAAACCGGGGCUAAUACCGCAUAAGCUCUAGCGAGGAAAGCAGCAAUGCGCUGAGAGAGGAGUCCGCGGCCGAUUAGCUAGUUGGGAGGGUAAAAGCCUACCAAGGCAGAGAUCGGUAGCCGGCCUGAGAGGGCACACGGCCACACUGGCACUGAAACACGGGCCAGACUCCUACGGGAGGCAGCAGUGGGGAAUCUUGCACAAUGGGGGAAACCCUGAUGCAGCGACGCCGCGUGAGCGAUGAAGCCCUUCGGGGUGUAAAGCUCUUUCGGCAGGGAAGAUGAUGACGGUACCUGCAGAAGCAGCUGCGGCUAACUACGUGCCAGCAGCCGCGGUAAUACGUAGGCAGCGAGCGUUGUUCGGAGUUACUGGGCGUAAAGGGUGUGUAGGCGGUUGUUUAAGUUUGGUGUGAAAUCUCCCGGCUCAACUGGGAGGGUGCGCCGAAUACUGAAUGACUCGGAGUGCGGGAGAGGAGAGUGGAAUUCCUGGUGUAGCGGUGAAAUGCGUAGAUAUCAGGAGGAACACCGGUGGUGUAGACGGCUCUCUGGACCGUAACUGACGCUGAGACACGAAAGCGUGGGUAGCAAACAGGAUUAGAUACCCUAGUAGUCC
rnacentral:rRNA from 1 species